rnacentral:rRNA from 1 species
UAGGGAAUCUUCCGCAAUGGGCGAAAGCCUGACGGAGCAACGCCGCGUGAGUGAUGAAGGUCUUCGGAUCGUAAAACUCUGUUAUUAGGGAAGAACAAAUGUGUAAGUAACUAUGCACGUCUUGACGGUACCUAAUCAGAAAGCCACGGCUAACUACGUGCCAGCAGCCGCGGUAAUACGUAGGUGGCAAGCGUUAUCCGGAAUUAUUGGGCGUAAAGCGCGCGUAGGCGGUUUUUUAAGUCUGAUGUGAAAGCCCACGGCUCAACCGUGGAGGGUCAUUGGAAACUGGAAAACUUGAGUGCAGAAGAGGAAAGUGGAAUUCCAUGUGUAUCGGUGAAAUGCGCAGAGAUAUGGAGGAACACCAGUGGCGAAGGCGACUUUCUGGUCUGUAACUGACGCUGAUGUGCGAAAGCGUGGGGAUCAAACAGG